UGAAUGUCUGUGUAGCCUGAGAG
rnacentral:piRNA from 1 species